UAUCAAGAACAAUAUUAUGUUGCAACUUGAAUUUUUGUGCAGGACAAUUACUGAUUAAAUAGUUAUCACUGAGCACCGUAAAAAAAUGUUAUUAAAAAAGACCGAUAUUCGUUGGCUGUCCACGGUGGAAGCCAACACUAUGUCCAGAUUCAAGGGAAGGCUUUUUUAUUUUUUUUCUUUAUACAUUUAGGUUUUUAUGUCCAGUGAGAAAAAUUGAACACUUUAACCCAUCCAAUGGUUGAUAGCAAAGUCUAUGCUAACGAUUUGAUCGAUAUGAUAAUCUCGAUUAUAGAAUGGGAUGUCAUGGUGCAAAAUUCCAACAAAAUGUGAAUUAAGAUGCACUGUUCCUGCUUGUUACUAGUGUUACCUUUCAGCAUGUUGCUAGGAAUUAUUGGUUUUUACACUGUAAUGGUUAUGUAAAUUCAAACUUGUUGAUUAAUAGUUGACUUUGCUGAUUGUGUUGAUGACCUUUGUGCCACAUGAUCUUUUGUUUUAUAAAUUUUCCUUGUUAAGUUGGCAUCUGCUUUGAAGGUGGCUUUGAAGCCAUCAUAGUUUUAGCUUGUCUUCAAUAUUUGUGAAUGAAUUCCUCAUUUUGUUAACUGGACUUGCAUGCUGAACUUGAAGACAAAUAUGUAGAAUGGACCAUUGGGAUGUUAUCCAAACAUUUCUAUUUUAGACCAAUUAUCUAAAUCUUUCAGUUUUGAAGAAAUUUUAGCCAAAAUUGAAUAUUAAUUUGAUUGACAGCAUCACACUUGGGACUUGUUUAUGAAUGCUUAACAAAACACCUUUGGAUCUUAUUUCACAAAGUGCUCAUGAGAAAAAUCAAUUUUUCCCCUGAAUUAAAUUUCAAUUUUGGCUUAGAUUUCUUUGGAAUUGAAUGAUUUGGAUGAUGGGUGGAAAAUUGAAACUUUUGGAUAAAAUUAACAAAGUGGUGCAAGCAUUUGAACUUUUUGGUCCAAAAGGCCUUGAGACGAUUAGUUGACCUAAAUUAUUUAGGGAGGAGAUUUAGCUUCAAUGAAGGACUACAUUUUGAAUGGACAUCUUUUCCAUCAUCAAUGCUUCAAUUCUCCAUGACAUCAAUGGAAAAGUAAAGCAUUCUAAUCUUCAUAAUAUCUAUUUCCAAUGUCAGCCGAAAACAUUUUGUGUUUCACCUCAUUUCUGAUGGCAGAAACAUAAUAGUAAUUAUAAGAAAAUGGUUUGGGUUAUUGCCCAAUGGUAGUUAUACAUAUAUUUUCUUAGUAAUUUGGACAUCUCAUUAGUUAGUUUUUUAUGUUUCAGGCUGCAGAUUUUGUGUAUAGGGCAAUUGGGAGCAGAUGGACUGUGCCCUAGACAGCAGAGACCAUAUUGCAGGUUAUGCUUCUGUGGGUUGUUUCAUUCUGGUUUAUAGGAUCUUGGGUGAUUCCUUUUGCAGCCCACAUGGCAGGUUUCAACAAGGAAUCCCUGACAUUUAGAGGACAAGCCUUGUUCAGCCUUGUGACUGAUGUAACUGAAGGCCUUGCUGGAAUUGCUAUUCUUCAUCGCUAUUUGUCUAGAUUUUGUCCCCUUCCAUCUGAUUGGUUUAGGUUUAGCCUGAAAGGUAACUGGCUAUUGGACGUUGCUCUUGGAUGUUUCAUGUUUCCCUUGGUCAACCGCCUCUCUCAGUUCAAUCUUAGCUUAUUGCCCAUUCCACCUUCUACACCUGUUACUCUCUCAAGCGUUGAGCAGUCAAUUGCAGCAAGAGAUCCAGUGGCUAUGACUUUGUAUGCGAUAGUAGUUUCAGUGUGUGCCCCUGUGCGGGAGGAGAUUGUCUUUCGGGGUUUCCUCAUUCCUUCCUUAACAAGAUACAUGCCCGUGUGGUGUGCAAUCCUGGUUAGCUCAGUUGCCUUUGCUCUAGCACAUUUCAAUGUACAGAGAAUGCUUUCGCUUAUUUUUCUGGGAGUGGUGAUGGGUGUCAUUUUUACAAGGUCGAGGAAUUUAAUGCCAUCUAUGCUUUUACAUAGCUUUUGGAAUGGUUUUGUGUUCAUAGAUUUAAUGAGAUGACUUGUUAGCCUUGCGCAGCACAUACAACAGAUCAUGAAUUAGCUGAUCAUCUCUCAAAAAUGUAUAUUCGUGGCUUUGAAGGAUAUUUUUGAUCAUAAGGCCUCUGAAGGCCUGCUCCAUUGGCAACGUUGAUUUACACUCAUCCUCAAAAUGUUUUGUAGGUCCAACAAACAGAGAUAAAGUAGUAUUGACAGAAAUUGAUAGGCCAUUCUAUAAUUUCUUCAUUUAUGGAAUUAGUCCAGUACAUCUUUCAUAUGUGUAAUUAUACUAGAAACAAAGGGGUAAAGCUAUCCCUUUGGCCCGUAGAGAUCUUGCUUAACGUUGUAAAACUCUCAAUCCAGUAAAUUAGCACUCUUUUUUUCUUG